GAUGAACGCUAGCGGCAGGCCUAACACAUGCAAGUCGAGGGGUAGAGGAAGCUUGCUUCCUUGAGACCGGCGCACGGGUGCGUAACGCGUAUGCAAUCUACCUUUUACAGAGGGAUAGCCCAGAGAAAUUUGGAUUAAUACCUCAUAGUAUUUUCGAAUGGCAUCAUUUGAUUAUUAAAGUUCCAACGGUAAAAGAUGAGCAUGCGUCCUAUUAGCUAGAUGGUAAGGUAACGGCUUACCAUGGCAACGAUAGGUAGGGGUCCUGAGAGGGAGAUCCCCCACACUGGUACUGAGACACGGGCCAGACUCCUACGGGAGGCAGCAGUGAGGAAUAUUGGACAAUGGGCGCAAGCCUGAUCCGGCCAUGCCGCGUGCAGGAAGACGCAUCUAUGGUGUGUAAACUGCUUUUGUACGGGAAGAAACACUCCCUCGUGAGGGAGCUUGACGGUACCGUAAGAAUAAGGAUCGGCUAACUCCGUGCCAGCCGCCGCAGUAAUAC
rnacentral:rRNA from 1 species